GAGGCGCUCGAGCGACAGUGAUGGUGGCGAUGGGGUAAGAUCUGCGGCAUGUCUUCGGCAGUCUUGCUCCUCUUUCCCUUUCCCUGCGCCAAGCGAUGGCAAAGAGGAGGAGGCUGCUUCGCCGAUGGCGUAUGGUGGCUGUGCCGGUGGUGUGCGUGGAUUGAGGCCAUGAACGACGGCUCCGUAACCUAACGCCUCCCUCCGUGUCUCAUCGAUCGGCACACCAUAGGCCUCCCCUCGCCUCUCCCUUCCGCUGGCGCACGAGCACAGCAGCAGGCACCUCCGGAUCUCCCUUCCCUCCGCCGGACGGCAGGUGCCCACAAUCCAAAUUUUCUGAUAGCUGAAAUAGGCGGCCAUGGGAGCCAACGCUCGAACUUGGGGAGCCAGAUGCGAUCAGAGGCGCAUAUAGAGAUGAUGAUGAUGAUGAUAACCACCAGGGGCAGUUGAUUGUUUUGGUUUUCCCAGGGCCUGCUGAUGAUGACGUUUUUGGGCCGACAUGAACCUGAUGUUCUUGAUGUGGAUGAUGUAGCAGGCAAUGGCCACACCGGCCAAGGGUCAACAACAUGAGCAAGUGAACCAGACGCUAUUAUUGGGGAUGGCUGAGACACUACAAGACAUAUUUUAUCAUAUUAUAGGCUAAUCUUCACUGUUUGCACAAUUUGUGAUUUAAUCAUUCACCCAACUGGUAGGAUCUGAGUCUGGAGGACUCCAUACCAUGGCAUUUAAUCUUCUUACAUGUUGGAAUUUUCUUGCAACAACUGAUGGCUGAUAAAAAGAAGUUACAGUUUAAUCGAAGGGAGAAUGAAAAUUUCAAUAUUGGCAUCCUUAUAUAAGGCCUUCUAUGUCUUUUUUCUAAGGCCACAAACAAGAAAACAUGCAGUCGUCUUAUGGCCGUGGGAUGGAGGGCGGCGUGCAAGGACAACCAAGGAGAUCACAUCCACCUACUUUUGGCUGUUUGUGUCACUCUUCUUUGGUGAAUCAUUCCAAUCAUUUCGUUGGGGCUCUGCAUCCCAUCUGAAUGGGUACAUUACCCAUCCAAAAUCAGAACCUGAUGGUCACUCUACGAUCUAAUAUUAUAACAUCUUAUUCACUUCAUGAUUUGAUGGUACAACAUUUUGCAGAUACCAACAAAAGCAGUGUUUAGUCCAUCGCUGAAUUGUAUUGCCCUUUGCUUCUGGAUAUAGAACUAGAUAUCACAUGGACCUCUCCCUGGAAGCAAGCAAACAUUUUUGACUCGUGAGGUCUAACUUGUCAUUUCUCUUUUAGAAUUUUAGGAAUGGUGCCAAGCUUACAAGUUAAUGUAGGAGAGUUAAUAGGAACUAUACAAAUGAAGUCAGAGUUUAGUUAAAACUUCAUAAACAUUUCUCGUAGCUAAUGUAUUUUGUCUUAUGUACUAUAUCUUGUCGUGUUUUUAUGUAAUUGGGCUCUUUUGUUGUGAAAAAAAAUUAGAUGUGUUUUCUCUCUUCUCCUUUCAGUCCAUCAAACUAAUCCAUGAUAUAUAUGUAGUUCUCUCAUGGAUGAGCGACCACCUAAAGGUGUUGUAUAGUUCUUCCAUUCUUCAGUGAAACAUUACAUUGACUUUC